rnacentral:rRNA from 1 species
GACAGAGGAUGCAAGCGUUAUCCGGAAUGAUUGGGCGUAAAGCGUCUGUAGGUGGUUUAUUAAGUCUACUGUUAAAGAUCCAGGGCUUAACCCUGAGCAGGCAAUAAGAAACUGAAUAGGCUAGAGUACGGUAGGGGCAGAGGGAAUUCCCGGUGUAGCGGUGAAAUGCGUAGAGAUCGGGAAGAACACCAACGGCGAAGCACUCUGCUGGGCCGAAACUGACACUGAGAGACGAAAGCUAGGGGAGCAAAUGGG